GCUAAUACCGCAUAAGCGCACAGCUUCGCAUGAAGCAGUGUGAAAAACUCCGGUGGUAUAAGAUGGACCCGCGUCUGAUUAGCUUGUUGGUGAGGUUAACGGCCCACCAAGGCGACGAUCGGUAGCUGGUCUGAGAGGACGACCCAGCCANACUGGGACUGAGACACGGUCCAGACUCCUACGGGAGGCAGCAGUAGGGAAUAUUUGGGCAAUGGGCGCAAGCCUGACCCAGCAACGCCGCGUGAGGGAAGAAGGUUUUCGGAUUGUAAACCUCUGUCCUAUGUGACGAAGGAAGUGACGGUAGCAUAGGAGGAAGCCCCGGCUAACUACGUG
rnacentral:rRNA from 1 species